rnacentral:lncRNA from 1 species
GGAGGGGGGAACGCUAGAUGCCGCAGAAGACGCCGCCACUGUUCUCGCCCGGGUCCAACGCAGACGAGCCCGAGCUCCCACCGCCUGCGGCUCCACCGCUGCCAGGGUCCCGCACAGUGACCGCACUGGUGCCAUGCUGCUUGUCGGCUUAUGCUCCGGCAGGAGGCCGUUCAGAGCCUCCAGUCCACGAGCACCGAGAGGCCUCUGCCAAAUUCUCGGGGGUGCGGUGGGGCUUGGUUCACCCGUGGAGGAAAAACUGCUUGACGCCAUCUCAAAGACCAGCACCGAGCCUUUCAGGUACUUCCCAGGGAAUGGCACUGCAACUCACUGCGGCAACCAUAAUUUUGUACCCUCAAAAUAACUCUUUCCAGCUGUACUCCGCAUAACGAGCCCCGGAAACAAUCCACCCCCGCACCACCACCACCACCGACGCCAGGCAAGGGGCUCCCUGCUCCCAUGGAGACCCAGGAGGGACCCCUGGACCCCGCAGUCUGACGCGAGGGCAAUACCACAGGACAUCUGCCCGAGGACAGGCCUAGGGCCAGGGGGCCCCAGAGAGUUAACCAGCUCCAAAAAACAGGACGGAGCAGGAACGUCAAAGGCCAUCUUGGAAUCAGAGAGGUGGAGAGAAAACGGAAAAAAGAAAGCAAACUUUGCCACCGAGGGACUUAGUCAGAUGUUUUCAGUUUCUCAGAAUUACACGCGCAGCACCUGCAGGCCAAUCCACGUCCGAUUCCUGCUGUUGAGAAGAAAUUACUCUCCAUGGUAAGAAACUGCCCUGGGACUUCCCUACCCAGCCCAACCCCCAGCUUUAAGUCAGAACGUAAUGCUAUGUGGAGGAAUUUUUAUCGAUUAUGGGACAGCGGAAAGAUGUCGGAGGCUCUCUGUGUGCUGGGGACGCGCGGGGCUAAGGCCCCCAACGACAGCCACAGAGAGGAUGGUGCCCCAAUCCGUGUGGGACCCCAAGGCCUCUCCCAAUGGACACAGGGUCCUCAGAGCACACCCAGCAGUAGACAGGCACUGAGGCCUCCAACCUCCCGCCCCGUGGCCGGGCCAGGUGGGCUCAGCCAGGGCCUGGGACAGAGAGCCCAGCCGUCCUCAUGCUGGGCGUCCUGGGCACAGACGGAGGAGAGCAGAGGGGGAGACAGCAAGACCGGGUGCCAGGGGGUUCGGCCACAUCCACAGGGGUCGGUGCUCCUCCCAGGACCAGGCAGGCGGCAGCAGCAGGAGCCUGGGCAGGGCAGCCACAGGCCCCUGCCCAGCAGAACGGAGCGCCUGUGUCCAACCUGCUCCGCAGGCACAGCCCUGGCCCUGUGUGGUUUGGAUGUUUGCAUGGGAGGCUUCAUGUAAACAUCUAGAUUUCUGGCUUCUCUGGAACAACUGGGAAAUCUCCUGAGAGUUCCUCUGUGUACUCCUUCCACAAGUACUGACCGAGCAUCUACCCAUGCCAAGGAUGACACUGGGCCCUGAAGAUGGGACCAGGAGGAAGUCCCAGACAUAAUGGGGCACACGUUGGUGAGAAAGACAGACUCAGUACAGCAUGGUGGGGCAGGGUGAAUGAUAGAAAACUGCAGGGUGAGGGGCCGGAGCAGCGAGGGGUGGCUCAGCAGGAAGGCCAGCAGCCUGGCACACGGUCCUGAGGAGGGAGAAGCUGGACCCCUAGACCUGCUCGGGUGCAGCAGGGCAGAGUGGGGAGGCUUCUGCCUCCCCACAGGGCAGAGGCGGGCCAGGGCCAGAGGGUCAGGCAUGGAGCGGGUCUUGAGGCAGGCAGGAGGCAGUAGCAGUGGAGGACCCCAGGGAGCAGCAUGGGCCUGGGACUCCAGGGGUGCCUCACAAGGUGACCGUGGGAAGAGGGUUGGCCUGCAGGGGCACAGGCUCACUGCAGGGGCUCGGGGCUCAGGAAAGCUCCAGGGGCUGCCCCGGCCACCUCCACCUCCUCCUGGUCACCAAUGUCCCCAGAGCCAGCACCCACAGCCUGUCCUGAGGACGGUGCCACUUUCAGGGAGGCCCCAGAUGACUGCUGUCGGCUCAGCCACAGGAGGGAAGCCCAGGGCCUAGCCUGGACGGAGCCUUCGGCAGGGCUUGUGCCCAGUGAUUCUCCACCAGCCGGGCAGCGCAGACAGGUCCUGCGGGAAGAACUCUCCCUCGGUGGGCCGGGGGCUGAGCCAGGCAGGCCCUAGUUGGGCCGUUUCAUCAGAGGACACUGGUUUCAUGGCUGGGUCGCCCUGGCAGACAUCUGUGCGUGUGGCUCCACCAACAAUGAACUGCGGACUGGGACACAGCUCCUGGAAUGGGACAAGCAGAGUCACGAGGCACUGGGAUGGGGUGGCCAGAGAGAGGAGAGAGGUCCGAGAAGAGGCCGAGGGGGCCAUGUCCUGUGCAGACUGUGCCCCGAGGGAGAAGGGCACCCACCUGGAGCGGCCC